CGGGGUGCCGCGUUUCUGGUCCGGCUUCGCGCGCUGCCCGCCCGUUCCUGCCGCGCCCGCCUCCGUCGCCGCCGUCGCCCGUGCCCCCGCUCCGCUCCGCGGUGCCGCCGGACCAGCACCAUGUCGCUGUCGCGCACGGAGGAGAUGCACCGGCUCACGGAAAAUGUCUACAAGACCAUCAUGGAGCAGUUCAACCCCAGCCUUCGGAACUUCAUCGCCAUGGGGAAGAACUACGAGAAAGCCCUGGCAGGUGUGACCUACGCUGCUAAGGGCUAUUUUGAUGCCCUCGUGAAGAUGGGCGAGCUGGCCAGCGAGAGCCAGGGCUCCAAAGAACUCGGAGACGUUCUCUUUCAGAUGGCUGAAGUCCACAGGCAGAUUCAAAAUCAGUUGGAAGAAAUGCUGAAGUCUUUCCACAACGAGCUGCUCACACAGCUGGAGCAGAAGGUAGAGCUGGACUCCAGGUACCUGAGUGCUGCGUUGAAGAAAUACCAGACGGAGCAAAGGAGCAGGGGCGAUGCGCUGGACAAGUGCCAGGCCGAGCUGAAGAAGCUUCGCAAGAAGAGCCAAGGCAGCAAGAACCCGCAGAAGUACUCGGACAAGGAGCUGCAGUACAUUGACGCCAUCAGCAACAAGCAGGGCGAGCUGGAGAACUACGUGUCGGACGGCUACAAGACCGCGCUCACCGAGGAGAGAAGGAGGUUCUGCUUCCUGGUGGAGAAGCAGUGUGCCGUGGCCAAGAACUCCGCCGCCUACCACUCAAAGGGCAAGGAGCUGCUGGCACAGAAGCUGCCGCUGUGGCAACAGGCCUGCGCCGACCCCAACAAGAUCCCGGAGCGCGCGGUGCAGCUGAUGGCCAGCAGCAACGGCUCUGUCCUCCCCAGCGCCUUGUCGGCCUCCAAGUCCAGCCUGGUCAUCUCAGACCCCAUUCCGGGGGCCAAGCCUCUGCCGGUGCCCCCUGAGCUGGCCCCGUUUGUGGGGCGGCUGUCCGCCCAGGAGAGCGCGCCCGUCAUGAAUGGCGUCUCAGGCCCUGAUGGCGAGGACUACAGCCCCUGGGCCGACCGCAAGGCCGCCCAGCCUAAGGCCUCGUCCCCACCACAGUCACAGAGCAAGCUGAGCGACUCCUACUCCAACACGCUCCCCGUGCGCAAGAGCGUGACUCCGAAAAACAGCUACGCUGCCACUGAGACCAAGACGCUGCCCCGCUCCAGCUCCAUGGCAGCCGGCCUGGAGCGCAACGGCCGCAUGCGAGUGAAAGCCAUCUUCUCCCACGCGGCCGGGGACAACAGCACCCUGCUGAGCUUCAAGGAGGGCGACCUCAUCACCCUGCUAGUGCCCGAGGCCCGUGACGGCUGGCACUACGGGGAGAGCGAGAAGACAAAAAUGCGGGGCUGGUUUCCGUUCUCCUACACCCGGGUUCUGGACAGCGACGGCAGCGACAGGUUGCACAUGAGCCUGCAGCAGGGAAAGAGCAGCAGCACGGGCAACCUCCUGGACAAGGAGGAGCUGGCACUGCCACCGCCCGACUACGGCACGUCCUCGCGUGCCUUCCCUGCCCAGACGGCCGGCACCUUCAAGCAGAGGCCCUACAGCGUGGCUGUGCCUGCCUUCUCCCAGGGUCUAGACGACUACGGAGCGCGGGCUGUGAGCAGCGCCGAUGUGGAAGUGGCCAGGUUCUGAGCCGCCCCUGACUAGAGUUAGAUGCAGAGAGGCUUCCAUUUCCACCCCCCCCCCCCGAUGCCCCACCUCUGCCCCUGACGCCCCCAUCGCUCUGAGCUGCAGGCCUGGCCUCUGCCUGGGACCACGUCCCCCGGUGUAGGACGGGGCCCUGGGGGCACGGUGGGCAUCAGCACAGCGCCACCAGCCAGCUUCCCAGCCGCAGAAUCAGCCUGGCUCCAAGAUUCGACUGGGGGCAGGGUCCCAAAAGCCCCCUGGGUUGGUCAAAGCACCCUGACCAAGCCUGCCUGAGGUGUGGCCCUGGGGGAACCGAACGACAAGGAUCCGAUCCCAGAAGGGCCGAAGUCCUGAAGGCAUGGCAACCACUUUGGUCUCAGAGGAGGAAGUUCAGGAGGAAGUGGAAAUGCACCCCGGCCGCUCCCUCACUCUGCUCCAGGAUCACCGAAGGACGGAAACCCUACCCUGUAAGGAGACGCGGCUGUUCCCAGCUGACCAGGUUCUCGCUCAGUUGGUGGAUUCGGAACAAUUACAGGCGACUCCCUAAACCCUCGGCAUAGCGCUUCCCUCGAGAUUGGAACGGAAAGGCGCUCGGCCCUCCUUGGGCUGCAGGGUUUGCAGGCGGGGGCUGUGGGCUCAGGACCCCGCGAUGCCCCCAAAGGCUGCCCCUUGAAUGCAGCGCUGGACCUGCCGGGGGCUUCAGCCUGCCCUGCCUGCGGGAGGAGCCUGGACGGCUCCUGUGGCCUCUGCUCGGUUCCGUCCGCUGAGCUUGCUUACGUCUUGGUGGUUUGCCGCCGGGCGUCCACCCCUGGCAAGCACCCCAAGCAGGGACAAAUGUCCCCGGGGCCAGGCUCUGAACUUAGUCCGGUUUUGCCGUCUUGGUGUUGACCCGCCCAGGGUCGCACCGACACCCUCCCGUUCUUCACAGAAGGUGGGAGGCACCUUAGACAGCCCCACCCAGGGGCCUCUGGUCGGGGCUGGGCUGGGCGCGGCUGCAGGGGGAGGCCGGGGGCGUCUUCAGCCCGCAGUGUUGAUGGUGCGUGCUCCCCGCUCACCCUGUUUGGGGGAAGGUGAAGAAAGUGGGGCUCAGAGGCCAGACACCGUCUUGCGGGGAGGCCUGUCUGGCUGUGCUGCUGCCCCGACCCACCUGGCCUGAGCCCUCUGUACUGGCUCCAGCCAGCACAGGAGCUGCCCUCCCUCCCCGGGCUUAGGGCCUGAGCUCCGUCCUCGGCUCGGUCCCCAACUCCAGAUGAACAAGAUUGGCUGAGUUCCAGCCCCCCAGGGCAUCUGCCUUGACCCGGGCUGGGAACAGCCAAGGCCCGGAGCCUUCCUUCAGAACCAGAGUCUAGGCAAGGUGGCAGUCAGGGCACAGGCCACCGCCCUGUCCUGGGGGCUGAUGUCACUGGUCACAGGAGACUUGGCCUUGGGAGCUUCCAGGCGGCCAAAAAGCUGAAACUCGUCUGUACGCGUCAGCGGAACAGCGCGCCAGAGCGCGUGGAGGAGCCUGAGGCCCCACGUGGGGCUGCAAGCGGCCUCGAAGCCAGGGGUCGAUGACUCAGAGGACAGUCGUAAGCAGUGUGCCCACACGGGACUCUCAGCCAUCAUCCGGAGACGGAGACGGGGACCUCAUUCGCCAAGAAGUUAGCUAGUGUCUGCGGCUUCUCCUCUUAAAAGAAUCCCUUCGCCAACGUCCAGCUGAAGCCGACAGUGACCAACGACAGGUCCGCCCCCCUCCUCAGCUGAUGGCCAAGUCCCCACCGCUGCCCGCCAGGACCCUCCUGCCCUGCCCACGCACAGAACCUCUUUUGUAACAAUCUGCGUGGUCCCCGUUUAGAGAAUUUUCUCCUUCACCUGCCUGGCUCUGCCCCCACUGGAGUCUGGCCUGGGCUGGACCCCGGCUGUCUUCGGAGGUGGCCCCUGGGCCAUGGCUGAGGAGAGUGGGGCCGGCAGUGGCCCCCGCUCGUGCAGGGAGGGACGCUCCACCAGCCCCACGUGUCUGGUCAAUAAACAGGCUGCCCCACAUGUGCCCGCUCGUGCUCUGUCAGCCCCAGGGGGUGGGAGGCCUGGGACAGAGGACGUGGGAGAGGCUGCCACCAUCCUCACGGCACAGAUUUAUUCUGAGCCCUCGACUGUGGCUCUCCUGGGCCCCGCUCCCACUGGCAGUGCUGGGGGACCCCUCCAUGCCCCCCGCACUCCCGUCCAGAGCUGGCUGCUGGCCCCCAGCUCUCUUCCCUGUCGCUGGAGUGAACAGCAGGCCGCACGGCCAGGAACGCCCUCUGCGCCCCAGCUGCUUUGUGCAGAGAUCCACGUCGUUUAUAUCUGUGGCUGAACUACAGCGCAGUGACUGGCCUUGGGGCCAGGCACCCCCAGCUGACAAGUUCCAGGCAGCAGUCACCCCUCCCCGGCCCUUGAAGGAGGGAGGGCCCUGGAGCCCUGCUCUGCCCAAAGCCUGUCCCUACCCCUGUACCAGAAACAAAACGGGUCAUGGGUGGGACACAGGCCUCUGGCCCCGCAGAAGCUGGAGACGGGCCCAGUGGGGUCGUAGAGCCCAUGUUUGGGGUGGAGAAGCACAGAAGCCCAGGCUCCUCAGAAACCCUCUUACCUCACCCUUACCCUGCCCCCACCCCGUGCUCUGGAAAGGCCUUCGAAGGAGCUUCCCGUGGGGGAAGGGGCCUGCAGGCCCCCCACCUCGUUCUUACCUAGUCAGCACCAACUACAGAACAAGAAGGGAAGGCUGUUGGGGUCACUCCCCUCCCCUACUCUGUGCAGACCUCCACCGGAGGAGAGGUGGGGCCCAAGUCACUGUCCCCCUCCACCAGGGUGCAGCCAGGACGGCCCGGGGCAGGUGUGGGGCGGGGGGGGGGGGGCAGGUGGGUAGGUAGCACCCUCCCGCACCCCACUGGCAUUGGGCAGAAGGGACUACUGUGCCCUCCCAGGCAGAGCUGGCAGCCAGGCCCCACCCCAGCACCACCCCGCCUCCCCACCCCCGCCCAGGGAUUUAUGCGCAAACCCCAAAAGAAAACACACGCUUAGCAUGAAGGCUUGUUUUCUUAGCUUCAUUUCUUUUAAAAAACAAACAAAAAAGGAACAAGGAAAUCAUGGCACCAGCAUCCGAAGCCUCAGACUAAUGAAAACAAAAAACACAAACCCAAAACAAUUCCCCCACCCCCACCCCCAAAGCAACAGUAAA